UACAGAGGGGGCAAGCGUUAUUCGGAAUUAUUGGGCGUAAAGGCGCGUAGGCGGCCGUGCAAGUGGAAGGUGAAAUCCCUCGGCUCAACCGAGGAACUGCCUUUCAAACUGCAUGGCUUGAGUCCGGGAGAGGUGAGUGGAAUUCCCAGUGUAGCGGUGAAAUGCGUAGAUAUUGGGAGGAACACCUGUGGCGAAAGCGGCUCACUGGACCACAACUGACGCUGAGGCGCGAAAGCUAGGGGAGCAAACAGGG
rnacentral:rRNA from 1 species